GUACAGUCUAUGCUGCUACAGAUAGGAGGCGAUACAACUCACCUGAGGGAACUGCUGUAAGACCUCACUCAUGUAGAUGACAGCUGGACUUCGGUGUGACAGAUACAGUAAACAAUGAAGAGGAAGGCGACCACCAGCAGCUUUUCCCAGCCUAAAAGAAGAGAGGAGGAAGAGCAUCCCAGAGAGGAGAUGGAGGAGGAAGAGUUCAGAGAGAGAAAGAAAUGAAGGCACAGCUAAAGAGUGAAAGUAGCAGUUCCUCCUGAAGGUCAGAGAUUGCAGCAUCUGAGGGCCUCUUCAAAAGAAGACGUAGUUGAUGAAGGCGUUCUGGAGCAGGACCAGAAAGACCACGACCAAGCAGCCUUGAGAUCUUAGGUAGCGUCUCCCUCAGGUCCCUCUCUGUCUCCCCACACAUCCACCAACCACUGGAACACAUCUCCAAAGUUCUGCCCGGCCAGCUCAGCUUCCCCUCAGAAGAAGUGCCGCCACCCGCCAGAUGAAGGAGCCUUUUGAGAGGCAGCUGGCAUCGUGAUUGGACUGUACUUUGGUCUGUUCCAAUCCAGAUUCAGCUCCAGAGACGGCAGGCGGGACGAGUCAACGGAGGCCGGGUGGACGUAGGCAUGCAGCUGAGUCGAAAAAAAAAAGUGAUUUUUCAACAUGUUGUAAAAAACGUGCCAUACGAUGAAAUAAUGUAAAGGAGGCCGUGAAAAACACUCCAGAAAGGUUUUCUUUGAAAAAAAAAAUCAUCAUGAAUUUUGGCGCAAAAAAAGCCAUAGUAUACUAUGUCGAAAAAAAAAACCCGACAUUGCUCUGAAAACGUCACAGUAUAGCAUGUCGCUCUAAAAACGUCAUAGUAUAGCAUGUCACUCAAAAAAUGUCAUAGUAUAGCGUGAAAUAAUGCAAAGCACGCUGUAAAAAAACACUCCAGAAAGAUUUUCUUUGAAAAAAAAAAAUCAUCGUGAAUUUUGGUGCAAAAAAACGCCAUAGUAUGUCGAAAAAAAAUGUCAUUCUUCAACAUGUUCUAAAAACAUGCCAUAUGAUGAAAUAAUGUAAAGGAGGCCGUGAAAAACACUGCAGAAAGGUUUUCUAUGAAAAAAAAUCAUCAUGAAUUUUGGCGCAAAAAAACGUCAUAGUAUACUAUGUCGAAAAAAAAUGCGAUUUUUCAACAUGUUGUAAAAACGUGCCAUAUGAUGAAAUAAUGUAAAGGAGGCCGUGAAAAACACUCCAGAAAGGUUUUCUUUGAAAAAAAAAUGAUCAUGAAUUUUGGCGCAAAAAAAUGCCAUUGUAUACUAUGUCGAAAAAAAAAUGCAAUUUUUCAACAUGUUGUAAAAACAUGCCAUAUGAUGAAAUAAUGUAAAGGAGGCCGUGAAAAACACUCCAGAAAGGUUUUCUUUGAAAAAAAAAUCAUCAUGAAUUUUGGCGCAAAAAAAAACACCUUACUAUACUAUGCCGAAAAAAAAAUGCAAUUUUUCAACAUGUUGUAAAAACGUGCCAUAUGAUGAAAUAAUGUAAAGGAGGCCGUGAAAAGCACUCCAGAAAGGUUUUCUUUGAAAAAAAAAAUCAUCAUGAAUUUUGGCGCAAAAAGAUGCCACAGUAUACUAUGUCGAAAAAUGUCAUUUUUCAACAUGUUGUAAAAACAUGUCAUAUGAUGAAAUAAUGUAAAGCAGGCUGUGAUCUGUCAUAGUGUAGCAUGUCACUCUUAUAACAUCAUAGUAUAGCAUGUUGCUCUAAAAGCGUCAUAAUAUAGAAUGUCGCUCUAAAAAUGUCAUAGUAUAGCAUGUCGCUCAAAAAACGUCAUAGCAUAGCAUGUCGCUCUAAAAACGUCAUAGUAUAGCAUGUCGCUCUAAAAACGUCGGAGUUUAACAUGUCGCUCUAAAAACGUCAUAGUAUAGCAUGUUACUCUAAAAUCAUCAUAGUAUAGCAUGUUGCUCUAAAAACGUCAUAGUAUAGCAUGUCGCUCUAAAAAUGUCAGUCUAGCCUUUGGUCCAACAAACAUCAUCGUAUAGCAUGUCGCUCUAAAAAUGUCAUAGUAUGGCAUGUCACUCUAAAAUCAUCAUAGUAUAGCAUGUUGCUCUAAAAAUGUCAUAGUAUGGCAUGUCGCUCUAAAAACGUCAUAGUAUAGCAUGCCGCUCUAAAAAUGUCAGAGUCUAGCCUUUGGUCCAACAAACAUCAUCGUAUAGCAUGUCGCUCUAAAAAUGUCAUAGUAUGGCAUGUCACUCUAAAAUCAUCAUAGUAUAGCAUGUUGCUCUAAAAAUGUCAUAGUAUGGCAUGUCGCUCUAAAAACGUCAUAGUAUAGCAUGUCACUCAAAAAAUGUCAUAGUAUAGCAUGAAAUAAUGCAAAGCACGCUGUAAAAAAAACACUCCAGAAAGAUUUUCUUUGAAAAAAAAAUCAUCGUGAAUUUUGGUGCAAAAAAACGCCAUAGUAUGUUGAAAAAAAAAAUGUCAUUCUUCAACAUGUUGUAAAAACAUGCCAUAUGAUGAAAUAAUGUAAAGGAGGCCGUGAAAAACACUCCAGAAAGGUUUUCUUUGAAAAAAAAUCAUCAUGAAUUUUGGCGCAAAAAAACGCCAUAGUAUACUAUGUCGAAAAAAAAAUGCGAUUUUUCAACAUGUUGUAAAAACGUGCCAUAUGAUGAAAUAAUGUAAAGGAGGCCGUGAAAAACACUCCAGAAAGGUUUUCUUUGAAAAAAAAAUCAUCAUGAAUUUUGGCGCAAAAAAACGCCAUAGUAUACUAUGUCGAAAAAAAAAUGCAAUUUUUCAACAUGUUGUAAAAACAUGCCAUAUGAUGAAAUAAUGUAAAGGAGGCCGUGAAAAACACUCCAGAAAGGUUUUCUUUGAAAAAAAAAUCAUCAUGAAUUUUGGCGCAAAAAAACGCCAUAGUAUACUAUGUCGAAAAAAAAUGCGAUUUUUCAACAUGU